UUUCCUAGUGACUUUAGCAGUGGCUCCUGAGGGCCUCCAAGCAUCAGGUAUGGGUGUAUUUGCUUUUCAGAAGCAGAUGAAGUACUUGGAGCAGCAGCAGGAUGAGACCAAACAAGCCCAAGAGGAGGCCCGCCGACUCAGGAGCAAGAUGAAGACCAUGGAGCAGAUUGAGCUUCUACUCCAGAGCCAGCGCCCAGAGGUGGAGGAGAUGAUCCGAGACAUGGGUGUGGGACAGUCAGCGGUGGAACAGCUGGCUGUGUACUGUGUGUCUCUCAAGAAGUGCGUACUCUGGCCCCUCUCAGCAAACACGGGAGAUAGGCCAUGGGGCUCCUGCCAUGUCAUUGCUUCCCAUCUCUUGUAAAGCAGAUGGAGCUAAGGGGCAAACUCUGGAGCCAUGCUGCCUUUGAACCCUGAUUCCACCUCUCCGCACCUAUGUGGCCUGGUGCCAGUUUCUUGGCUUCUUUGACCUUCAACUUCCUGAAUGGAGAUAGUAGUAGACCUGCCUCAUAGGAUUGUUGAG
rnacentral:lncRNA from 1 species